UGAACGGAAGGGAGGUGGCGAUCGGGUUUCGGUUUGUGUAGAUUAUCGGAUUUGUUGUUUCGCUUCUUCUGUUUGGGUUUGAUUCUAUGCUUUCGAUAUCGAUGGAUUAAGUUUUGUUAUCGCUAUGCUUUAGGUUUUGGUGAUGGAUUUUGCUAACCGAUUAAAAGUUGGAUCUAAUGACCUUUGAAGGUUGUGACGAUAUAAAGAACCAGAGAUUGUGUACAUUUGCAGGCUUGUUUUAUUGGUUCAGAUAGACCCAAACGACAUCGUGGAUCAUGGUGAAGGCUUCGUGGAUUCAGUACCUAGUUCUGCUUGCGUUUUGAUUUGGACGAAAACCUCAUCGAUUUACCUUCUACGGGAGACCUUUCGCUUACCUCCUUUGAUUUUGUUCUGAAGUUAGAAUAUAAUGAUUUGGAAAUUUCCGUCGUUUAUUGUCAUUCAAAUAAGCGGAGCUUUGCUGUUAUUUUUCAGGCCUCGUUUGCGGUGUUUGACACACGAGGGUUAGAUGAUAACUCGAUAGGUUCUUAUGGGGUCUGAUUGGAUGGCUAUGAGGUCGAAUUUUAUACUGUUUUGCGCUUGCAAUGGAAUGUUGAAUUUCAAAAUUGUCUAUCUGGAUCUAUUUGAUUUGCAGCAGAUACCGGCUUUGAGCUUAUGUCUGCACCCUUUUAGUCUUUGGAUAGAUCGUAGUGCACUCCAUUUGUAAAGGUUUUCAUUGGUUUGCUGCAUAUGGAUUAUUGUUUUGUGUUA